rnacentral:tRNA from 2 species
GCGCUCGUAGCUCAGUAGGAUAGAGCGAUUGCCUCCUAAGCAGUAGGCCGCAGGUUCGAUUCCUGCCGGGCGCACCA